rnacentral:rRNA from 1 species
AGAGUUUGAUCAUGGCUCAGAUUGAACGCUGGCGGCAGGCCUAACACAUGCAAGUCGAACGGUAACAGGAAGCAGCUUGCUGCUUCGCUGACGAGUGGCGGACGGGUGAGUAAUGUCUGGGAAACUGCCUGAUGGAGGGGGAUAACUACUGGAAACGGUAGCUAAUACCGCAUAAUGUCGCAGGACCAAAGAGGGGGACCUUCGGGCCUCUUGCCAUCAGAUGUGCCCAGAUGGGAUUAGCUUGUUGGUGAGGUAACGGCUCACCAAGGCGACGAUCCCUAGCUGGUCUGAGAGGAUGACCAGCCACACUGGAACUGAGACACGGUCCAGACUCCUACGGGAGGCAGCAGUGGGGAAUAUUGCACAAUGGGCGCAAGCCUGAUGCAGCCAUGCCGCGUGUAUGAAGAAGGCCUUCCGGGUUGUAAAGUACUUUCAGCGGGGAGGAAGGGGAUAAGGCUAAUAACCUUGUUCAUUGACGUUACCCGCAGAAGAAGCACCGGCUAACUCCGUGCCAGCAGCCGCGGUAAUACGGAGGGUGCAAGCGUUAAUCGGAAUUACUGGGCGUAAAGCGCACGCAGGCGGUCUGUCAAGUCGGAUGUGAAAUCCCCGGGCUCAACCUGGGAACUGCAUUCGAAACUGGCAGGCUUGAGUCUUGUAGAGGGGGGUAGAAUUCCAGGUGUAGCGGUGAAAUGCGUAGAGAUCUGGAGGAAUACCGGUGGCGAAGGCGGCCCCCUGGACAAAGACUGACGCUCAGGUGCGAAAGCGUGGGGAGCAAACAGGAUUAGAUACCCUGGUAGUCCACGCCGUAAACGAUGUCUACUUGGAGGUUGUGCCCUUGAGGCGUGGCUUCCGGAGCUAACGCGUUAAGUAGACCGCCUGGGGAGUACGGCCGCAAGGUUAAAACUCAAAUGAAUUGACGGGGGCCCGCACAAGCGGUGGAGCAUGUGGUUUAAUUCGAUGCAACGCGAAGAACCUUACCUGGUCUUGACAUCCACGGAAGUUUUCAGAGAUGAGAAUGUGCCUUCGGGAACCGUGAGACAGGUGCUGCAUGGCUGUCGUCAGCUCGUGUUGUGAAAUGUUGGGUUAAGUCCCGCAACGAGCGCAACCCUUAUCCUUUGUUGCCAGCGGUCCGGCCGGGAACUCAAAGGAGACUGCCAGUGAUAAACUGGAGGAAGGUGGGGAUGACGUCAAGUCAUCAUGGCCCUUACGACCAGGGCUACACACGUGCUACAAUGGCGCAUACAAAGAGAAGCGACCUCGCGAGAGCAAGCGGACCUCAUAAAGUGCGUCGUAGUCCGGACUGGAGUCUGCCAACUCGACUCCAUGAAGUCGGAAUCGCUAGUAAUCGUGGAUCAGAAUGCCACGGUGAAUACGUUCCCGGGCCCUUGUACACACCGCCCGUCACACCAUGGGAGUGGGUUGCAAAAGAAGUAGGUAGCUUAACCUUCGGGAGGGCGCUUACCACUUUGUGAUUCAUGACUGGGGUGAAGUCGUAACAAGGUAACCGUAGGGGAACCUGCGGUUGGAUCACCU